GACAGAAAGCAGGAGAAAAAUAGCAAGUGGGUGAAACAUGUAUCUGGGCCUGCUGAGCUGAGGGUGUAGGAAGAAUCCAUCACACGAGGCUGUUAAGUUCCCGCAGCAUUCACAGCAUCAGGUGUAGUGGAACGGUAGGAAAGACACGGCAGUUCAUCUAGAAAGCUCAGCAGAUACAAAUCUCGGAAUGAAGCCAUGCUACUACCAUUAGAGUUGAACAAAGCCAGGAUUCAGGCUGUCAGGGACUGGAGUAUGGUUAACCUACUAGUAGAAUUUAUCCGACUCAUGUUUACUUGCUUAAUUUAGAAAAUGUAAGCUCCAUUAAAGAAGGUUUCUUUUCCUUCUCAUUUUCUCAGUCAUCCUAGCGCCUUGGAGAGGCCCAAGCACUCAUUUGUAGAGGAAUUUAAAUAGUGUGCUGGGAAUUGCCAUUAGAAAUUCUUGGAAAGAGCUGGAGAGAUGGUACAGCUGGCAAAGUACUGACCACAUAAGAACCCAGUUCCCAUCCCUCAAACUCGCAUUAAGAAGCCAGGCAUGGUGAUGCUCACUUUAAAUCCCCAAACUGGAGAGUCAGAGACAGGAGGAUUCCCACGAUUCAGUGAUCAGCCAGUGGAGCAAAAUCAGCAAGCCCCAAACCACCAAGAGAGACUCUGCCUCACAAAACAAGAUGGAUGGCUCCUGAGUUAAGGAGGUGGUAAUAUCAACUCUAGAGAUGAGGCAAGAAAGUUUGGCUUCCUACGAAGAACUCUAACUCCUAUUCUUAGCUUCUCUAAUAUUAUGAAGCAGAAAGCCAUACUGUGUGGCACGGGCUGCUUUCCCCUAGCACACAGAAACGCACAUGAUUCUUUCUCCUACUUCAACAGUGACUCAGAACAGACUUGGAAAUGAGACACGGAAUCCUGACACUCUCCUCCUGUCCUAAGUCAUGAUUGUCAACAACAAACCUGCAUUUAUCUAAAUAAAAUGAGGAAGUGUGUUUAAGGAUUCCUGGGGAAUCAUCAUUUCUACCUCAUAUGAAGUGGAGGCCCUCUCUUGGCUUUAAGUGGGCAGAGUGAUGAACAUUUGAUGAACAUUUUUAAACAUUAUAUAUUCCUUGAUAAUCUCACCCAGGGAUCCAUCAUAUCCACCUCAAGUCCUCCCCUCUCUUCCUUUUACAAUUCAUAAACUAAAUGUAUUGUGGCAUUUUAGGAAUUAGGAUCCCGAGUUGGAAUAAAUCCUGCAGAGCAUUCUUAAAUUACCUCACUUAGCUGGGCUUGGGCCCCACGAUAUUCUUGAACCAAGUGCUCAAGUUGAUUGUUAAUGUACUUUUCUCGGCUGCCAAUCUUUUCCAGAGUCCUGCUAAUUUCAUUAUGGAGCUUGUCCAAAAACCCCUAGAAAACCAUGGGAUUUUAGAAGACAAAAUAAGUAAGUUUUUCAAGACUGGUAAAAAUAAGUUAAAUACUCUUCAACCCAAUCCACAAAUGUGCACAAAUGAAGACAGUUUGAAAUUUCAACAACAAACUCUAUGAUGAGAAACACUUUAGUCACACCAUAACUUUCAUAAAAGAAGCCAGAUGUGAUGGUUCAGUCCUGUAAUCCAACGAGCUUGGAGGCUGAAGCAAGGGAACCACCCAUGGGUUACUCAUGGACCCUGUCUUCAGAAAAGGGGAGCUUGGUAGUGUGAGCGAUCUCUUGUUCCCAUGCAUGCCUAAGGUUUAUGACAUAGCAAUAAGUUGUAUGUAAACUUCAAAAUCAAAGCAGCUAAGGAAUAAUAUGACUACCUAGAGCUGGGACCCACAGCUUUGCAUUCAACUUGCUUCUUUAUGGCAUUCUCUAAAGAUCCCACUUCUACCAUGGCAACAGGGCUCUGGGAGCUGCAAGUCCUAGCCAUUGUCAGCCUGGGGUUCAUAUAACGUUGGCAAUCAAGAGAAAGAUUGAUAUGUAUCUAAAACAUCUAUUAGCUAUAUGUGUGUAAUGUGAUAGCCAUGCACAUAUUUAAAAUACAAAUGAAUUGUAGGCAUAUGUACUACCACAUCUGACUAUAAGUAGCUUCUAUUUAACUAGCUUGCUUUACUUGGUGCAAUCAUUGAGAUGUGAAGAUGUAUUAUGGAAUAUUCAAUUAAACAUAUUCU
ensembl:antisense Gm15518 predicted gene 15518